GUUCCUGUCCAACGUUAAUCGGGGCAGGGUGAGUCGACCCCUAAGGCGAGGCCGAAAGGCGUAGUCGAUGGGAAACAGGUUAAUAUUCCUGUACUUGGUGUUACUGCGAAGGGGGGACGGAGAAGGCUAUGUUGGCCGGGCGACGGUUGUCCCGGUUUAAGCGUGUAGGCUGGUUUUCCAGGCAAAUCCGGAAAAUCAAGGCUGAGGCGUGAUGACGAGGCACUACGGUGCUGAAGCAACAAAUGCCCUGCUUCCAGGAAAAGCCUCUAAGCAUCAGGUAACAUCAAAUCGUACCCCAAACCGACACAGGUGGUCAGGUAGAGAAUACCAAGGCGCUUGAGAGAACUCGGGUGAAGGAACUAGGCAAAAUGGUGCCGUAACUUCGGGAGAA
rnacentral:rRNA from 1 species